AGCGAACGCUGGCGGCAGGCUUAACACAUGCAAGUCGAGCGGGCACUUCGGUGUCAGCGGCAGACGGGUGAGUAACACGUGGGAACGUACCCUUCGGUUCGGAAUAACGCUGGGAAACUAGCGCUAAUACCGGAUACGCCCUUUUGGGGAAAGGUUUACUGCCGAAGGAUCGGCCCGCGUCUGAUUAGCUAGUUGGUGGGGUAAUGGCCUACCAAGGCGACGAUCAGUAGCUGGUCUGAGAGGAUGAUCAGCCACACUGGGACUGAGCCACGGCCCAGACUCCUACGGGUCGCAGCGGUGGGGUAUAUUGGACAAUGGGCGCAAGCCUGAUCCAGCCAUGCCGCGUGAGUGAUGAAGGCCUUAGGGUUGUAAAGCUCUUUUGUCCGGGACGAUAAUGACGGUCCCGUAAGAAUAAGCCCCGGCUAACUUCGUG
rnacentral:rRNA from 1 species